rnacentral:rRNA from 1 species
AUAUAUAUAUGUAUAUAAAGGGGUGAAAUCUUUUAAUUAUAAUAUUAUUUAUUUUUUUUUCUACAUAAUCUUAAGAAAUAAACUAGGAUUAGAUACCCUAUUAUCCUUAAGAAUUUUAAGAAUCUGAAGUAGUAAAAAUUGAAACUUAAAAAUUUUGGCAGUAUUCAAUUUUUUAGAGAAAUAUGUAAUUUAAUCGAAAAUACACGAAAAUCUUACUUAUUUUCAUUUUGUAUAUCUCCGUUGACAGAUUUUUAUAAAAAUCAAAAUAAUUUUCUAAAAAUAAAAUAUGAAACAUCAGGUCAAGGUGCAGAAUAAAUAAGUUAUUAUGUAUUACAUUCAAGUUUAUUGAGAUGGAUAAAUAAUUGAAAUAUUAUUUUAAAAAUGAAUUUAUAAGUAAAAUAAAAUAA